UUGUAAGAGCAGAAAACAAAGCCAGUGGUUCCUUACCCUGAGACCUGGGACCGACUGGCUCCAUGCGCUGCAACCUGGUUUAUGGGUACCCGGGCUCGAGGUGGUUGGUUAAAAAUCAUUAUUGACUUUCUUAGACCUCCUGUCCUAGAUUCAUUCACUCCUCCUUCCUCACCUCCUCAACGCAUUUUCUGGCUCGAAGUGGCUCUGCUCGCUGAAGCCAGGCCUCACUCAGCUGUGGCGGGUAACGGUUUCCAUAUGCUGGGCUGCUCCUGCUUCAGGCACCCGGAGAGGAGCGGGGGCGACGCAUGGACAGAGGUGGCUGUGAGCAGAGUUUUAGUGUUUGUGUAUUUAACGUGUGGCCCAAGACAACUCUUCUUCCUCCAGUGUGGCCCAGAGACGCCAAGGGGUUGGACGCCCUGAGCAUUCUGUUCCCAGAGGCACCUGGUUCCUGUGAUUUCAAAUGUAAACUUUCUCCAGAGAGAGAAGGAGGAGGAGGAAGCAGAGGAGGAGAAGAAGAAGGGAAACAUAAAUGUGAGAGAAACAUUGAUCAGUUGCCUCCAGUACGUGCCCUGACCAGGGAUUGAACCCGCAACCUUUUGGUGUCCAGGACGAUGCUCCAAUCAGCUGAGCCACCCGCCCAGGACCUGGCCUAUCAUUUCAGUACAACUGACUGGUGGCACACGAUUUGAAGUUGUCGAAGCAAGAAGAGCGGUCACACUAUUUCCUUAUGGACCGUGUACAAACUGUAUAUAACUGAUGCACACACACUCACACCCAUGCACACAGACGCUCUCACUCACAGGUACGCACACCCAGGAGAGCAAACAGGACACGCAGGAACGUGCAAUGACAUUUCCCCAAUUACUGUUUCCAUUUUAAAAUCUGGCUCUCAUUUAAACUCCAGAGGGAUAAUUUUAUGUUCCGAGGGACGGUGGAGAUACCCACUGCCCACUCAGAGCAAAGGUCCCCCACUGCGGCUCGGUUUUUGUCUGCGUUUCAUUUCUUUGCUCGCCAGCCCUGUUUUCCAAAAGCAAUUGGCUCUAGGCUACGAAAAAUGGGAUUCUUUUUGAAGACCUCGGUGGAACCUCACAGAAAUCUCAACAUUAUUUUUAAUAAUAACGUGUGACCCAUUUCAGCACCCACACAGUCUCUGAAAUGCCGGAAUCACCCUAUAUACAGCAUUUCGUCAAAUUAAAAAUAUUUUAAUAAU